rnacentral:rRNA from 1 species
GACGAACGCUGGCGGCGUGCUUAACACAUGCAAGUCGAACGGAGCGAAUGAAAGCUUGCUUUUAUGAGCUUAGUGGCAAACGGGUGAGUAACACGUAGACAACCUGCCGACAGGAUGGGGACAACAUUCCGAAAGGAAUGCUAAUACCGAAUGAAGUCGAGGGAAGGCAUCUUCCUUCGAUGAAAGAUGGCCUCCAUUUAUAAGCUAUCACCUGUCGAUGGGCCUGCGUCUGAUUAGCUAGUUGGUGAGGUAACGGCUCACCAAGGCGACGAUCAGUAGCCGGUCUGAGAGGAUGAACGGCCACAUUGGGACUGAGACACGGCCCAGACUCCUACGGGAGGCAGCAGUGGGGAAUCUUCCGCAAUGGGCGCAAGCCUGACGGAGCAACGCCGCGUGAG